GGAGUUGGUUUGCUACUUUGUGAGGAGGAAAGAAUGCUCUUGAGAAACACCAAGAAGAAAAGGUUGGAGUGAGUCCAGAGGAGGACCAUGAAGAUGAUUAGAGUGCCACAGCAUCUCUGCUAUGAAGACAGACUGAGAGAUUGGGGCUGUUCAUCCCGGAGAAGAGAAGGCUCCAGGGGCUGAGAGUGGUCCCUGGCACAGUUUAUUUCUGGAAUUUACACUAAGCCUAAGGGUGCUUAGUCUCUCUUCCCUUGCAUGGUGAAGGGUGCUCAGAGAACUCCUCCAGUACCAUGAAAUCGCUGGACAUUUUGCUGCAGAGGCAGUGACCUGAAGCCAGCAGCACCAAGGGAACACUGAGAACAGUAAGAGGAAAAACACUUGUAAAAUUCCUGAGAUAAGCCACAAAUAUGAGGAGGCUGUGAAAGGAAAGCCUGACUUGAAGUUCCAUGGAAUGCCAUCAGCAAAACCAGCCUAAGACGUUUCUGCUCACCCUAUUACCACAUUUCAUAGUCACUUGACUGGUUUGUACUGGUUUUGGCUAGGGCAGAGUUAAUUUUCUUGGCAGCAGCCUAUAUGGUGCCAUCUUUUAGGAUUUUGAUGGAAACUGUGUUGAUAAUAACAUGGGUGUGUGUUAGCUACUGCUGAGCAGGGCUUACACAGUGUCAAAGCUGCUUUUACUUCUCGCAUUGAUGCACCAGUGAGUGGGCUGGGGGUGGGCCGGAGGUUUGGAGGGGACAGACAUGGGGCAGAGCUGACCACUGUGACAAAAGGGACAUCCCAUACCAUACAACAAUGAUCAGCAAUAAAAGCUGGGGACUGGCCAGGCACUAGUUGUCUCAAGGACAGCAGUUGCUAUUUCUUGCAUCAGUUGUCUUUCUUGUGUGCUUUUUUUGUUAUUGAUUUUGUGUGUGUGCGUGUAGGUUUGUGAUGGAUUUUUGUUUGUUUCUUUUUUAGUAUCCUUCCCUUUUUACUUAUUAAACUGCGUUUAUCUCAACCCAUACAUUUUCUCACUUUGCCCCUCCUAUUCUCUCCCCAACCCAUGGUAGGGGUGAGCAAGCAGCUGUGUGGGGCUGAGCUGCCCACCAGGCCUAACACACAAACCAGGCUGUUACAUCUCUUUGCAGGGCUGUACUGAAAUCCAGGUGAGGAGAUCCAUAUCAAAAACAAAUCAGUAUACCAUGAUAUUGAGAUCACACUCAUAAAGAGCAGAUGGUCCAGAAGAUUCACAGACCGUCUUUUAACUUGCUGUGAAUGCUUUAGACUACUCUGCCAUUUCUCUGAUCUCAAAUCACCAUUGGAAAGACCACACACUAACUAAAUGUAUUUACUAUUAGGAAAGAAUUACCCACACAGGUCUUCAGAAUGUAAUCAGUGAUCUGCAAAGCACAAGUUUAUGAAUAACUAUUUGCAGUUUUCAAUCUCCAGCCCACAUUUUGAUCUCAAUUACAGAUGCCUCCCAGUCAGGGGAGCAGAAACAGGACCACAUUAUUUAAGGCAGGACAUAAAGGUUGCAAAUAGAAAACUGUGUGAC